rnacentral:rRNA from 2 species
UUAUUGGAGAGUUUGAUCCUGGCUCAGGACGAACGCUGGCGGCGUGCCUAAUACAUGCAAGUCGAGCGGAGUUUAUCCUUCGGGGUAAGCUUAGCGGCGGACGGGUGAGUAACACGUAGGCAACCUGCCCCUUAGCCUGGGAUAACUACCGGAAACGGUAGCUAAUACCGGAUAAUCCCU